rnacentral:rRNA from 1 species
AUUGAACGCUGGCGGCAUGCCUUACACAUGCAAGUCGAACGGCAGCGGACCUUCGGGUGCCGGCGAGUGGCGAACGGGUGAGUAAUAUAUCGGAACGUACCUUUCAGUGGGGGAUAACGUAGCGAAAGUUACGCUAAUACCGCAUAUUCUGUGAGCAGGAAAGCAGGGGAUCGCAAGACCUUGCGCUGAUUGAGCGGCCGAUAUCAGAUUAGCUAGUUGGUGAGGUAAAGGCUCACCAAGGCGACGAUCUGUAGCGGGUCUGAGAGGAUGAUCCGCCACACUGGAACUGAGACACGGUCCAGACUCCUACGGGAGGCAGCAGUGGGGAAUUUUGGACAAUGGNGCAAGCCUGAUCCAGCCAUNCCGCGUGAGUGAAGAAGG